rnacentral:rRNA from 1 species
AUUGAACGCUGGCGGCAUGCCUUACACAUGCAAGUCGAACGGUAACGGGCCUUCGGGUGCCGACGAGUGGCGAACGGGUGAGUAAUGCAUCGGAACGUACCUUUCAGUGGGGGAUAACGUAGCGAAAGUUACGCUAAUACCGCAUAUUCUGUGAGCAGGAAAGCAGGGGAUCGCAAGACCUUGCGCUGAUUGAGCGGCCGAUGUCAGAUUAGCUAGUUGGUGAGGUAAAGGCUCACCAAGGCGACGAUCUGUAGCGGGUCUGAGAGGAUGAUCCGCCACACUGGAACUGAGACACGGUCCAGACUCCUACGGGAGGCAGCAGUGGGGAAUUUUUGGACAAUGGGGGCAACCCUGAUCCAGCCAUGCCGCGUGAGUGAA